GUGUUUGCUUCAGCAGCACAUAUACUAAAAUUACAAUGAUACAGAGAAGAUUAGCAUGGCCCCUGUGUAAGAUUGACAUGCAAAUCCAUGAAGUGUUCCAUAUUAAA
rnacentral:snRNA from 1 species